GAUGAACGCUGGCGGCGUGCCUAAUACAUGCAAGUCGAGCGAACGGACGAGAGGCUUGCUUCUCUGAUGUUAGCGGCGGACGGGUGAGUAACACGUGGAUAACCUACCUAUAAGACUGGGAUAACUUCGGGAAACCGGAGCUAAUACCGGAUAAUAUUUUGAACCGCAUGGUUCAAAAGUGAAAGACGGUCUUUCUGUCACUUAUAGAUGGAUCCGCGCUGCAUUAGCUAGUUGGUAAGGUAACGGCUUACCAAGGCAACGAUGCAUAGCCGACCUGAGAGGGUGAUCGGCCACACUGGAACUGAGACACGGUCCAGACUCCUACGGGAGGCCGCAGUAGGGAAUCUUCCGCAAUGGGCGAAAGCCUGACGGAGCAACGCCGCGUGAGUGAUGAAGGUCUUCGGAUCGUAAAACUCUGUUAUUAGGGAAGAACAUAUGUGUAAGUAACUGUGCACAUCUUGACGGUACCUAAUCAGAAAGCCACGGCUAACUACGUG
rnacentral:rRNA from 1 species